UUUCCGUAGGUGAACCUGCGGAAGGAUCAUACAUAAUAAAGUGUUUUAUGGCACUUUUUAAAAAUCCAUAUCCACCUUGUGUGCAAUGUUAGAUCUCGUCAAUCUUGGCGAGUUUUUUAUACAUCGACUCAUUCUUAACUAAUUUGUCUGAAAAAUAUUAUGAAUACUUAAUUCAAAAUACAACUUUCAACAACGGAUCUCUUGGCUCUC
rnacentral:misc_RNA from 1 species